AAUACCAACAGUCGGUCGGUGGUUCCAACGAGCCAGUCUCGAAUGAGUAAUAACGAAGAAAAGAACGAACCUUAAACAAACAAACAAACAUACGCACGCCCCGAAAGUUUUACGUAAAUAUCAAUCAACUGGCAUGCCUGCUUGACCGGUUUUUCUUUUUUCGCCAUGGAUGUAGAUACUCUUCCUACUCGUCAAGAUACAUAUUUCCAUAAAAAAGAUUUAACAUCGGACCAUUCUUCGAAAAGUUACAGAUAAAACUACAAAUUUCAAAAUGCUCGUUCUCAGCAAUGCUACAACCGAUUUUCGAGAUUUUCGUUUUGGUGCCAUCCCGCUAGACCCCUCCCCAUUUUUGUGAGAUUGACCCAAAUCUUAUCAGAAAGGUGCCGUUUAGUGCAGGAAUAGUCUCUUACAUGUUGUGGAAAACUUGGCUUCGAUGGUAAACAACAUGGUUCUCCGGUGAAUAAUUCGGAAUAUCCUUAAAAAUGUUGGGCAGAGGUGGACACACCACAACGCAGAACAGGGUCACCGAAGCGGAACGCGGAACCAGGAUUUCGGUA